UACAGGGGGGGCAAGCGUUGUUCGGAAUUACUGGGCGUAAAGGGCGCGUAGGCGGCCUGUUAAGUCGAACGUGAAAUCCCCGGGCUCAACCCGGGAACUGCGUCCGAUACUGGCAGGCUUGAAUUCGGGAGAGGGAUGUGGAAUUCCAGGUGUAGCGGUGAAAUGCGUAGAUAUCUGGAGGAACACCGGUGGCGAAGGCGGCAUCCUGGACCGAUAUUGACGCUGAUGCGCGAAAGCCAGGGGAGCAAACGGG
rnacentral:rRNA from 1 species